UUGAACGCUGGCGGCAUGCUUUACACAUGCAAGUCGCACGGUAACAGGCCUUCGGGUGCUGACGAGUGGCGAACGGGUGAGUAAUGCAUCGGAACGUGCCCAGAGGUGGGGGAUAACGCAGCGAAAGCUGUGCUAAUACCGCAUGUGAUCUGAGGAUGAAAGCGGGGGACCAAGCAGCAAUGUUUGGCCUCGCGCCUCUGGAGCGGCCGAUGUCAGAUUAGGUAGUUGGUGGGGUAAAGGCCUACCAAGCCGACGAUCUGUAGCUGGUCUGAGAGGACGACCAGCCACACUGGGACUGAGACACGGCCCAGACUCCUACGGGAGGCAGCAGUGGGGAAUUUUGGACAAUGGGCGCAAGCCUGAUCCAGCAAUGCCGCGUGCGGGAAGAAGGCCUUCGGGUUGUAAACCGCUUUUGUACGGAACGAAAAGGCUCUGGCUAAUACCUGGGGCUGAUGACGGUACCGUAAGAAUAAGCACCGGCUAACUACGUG
rnacentral:rRNA from 1 species